UUAUAGGAUCAAGUGAAUAAGUGCACAUGGUGGAUGCCUUGGCGAUCACAGGCGAUGAAGGACGUUGUAGCUUGCGAUAAGCUGCGGGGAGCUAGCAAACAAGCUUUGAUCCGCAGAUUUCCGAAUGGGGAAACCCACCCGUAAGGGUAUCGCAUACUGAAUACAUAGGUAUGCGAGGCGAACGCAGUGAACUGAAACAUCUAAGUAGCUGCAGGAAAAGAAAUCAACCGAGAUUCCCAAAGUAGUGGCGAGCGAAAUGGGAAGAGCCUUCUAAUGAUAAUUGUCGAGUUAGUGGAACGGAAUGGAAAGUCCGGCCAUAGUGGGUGAUAGCCCCGUACGCGAAAACACGAUAAUGGUACUAAGUUAGAGAAAAGUAGGGCGGGACACGUGAAAUCCUGUCUGAAUAUGGGGGGACCAUCCUCCAAGGCUAAAUACUCGUGAUCGACCGAUAGUGAACCAGUACCGUGAGGGAAAGGCGAAAAGAACCCCGGGAGGGGAGUGAAAUAGAUCCUGAAACCGUGUGCAUACAAACAGUCGGAGCCUCGUAAGGGGUGACGGCGUACCUUUUGUAUAAUGGGUCAGCGACUUACAUUCAGUGGCAAGCUUAACCGUAUAGGGGAGGCGCAGGGAAACCGAGUCCGAAUAGGGCGUCCAGUCGCUGGGUGUAGACCCGAAACCAGAUGAUCUAUCCAUGGCCAGGUUGAAGGUGCGGUAACACGCACUGGAGGACCGAACCCACUAACGUUGAAAAGUUAGGGGAUGAGCUGUGGAUAGGGGUGAAAGGCUAAACAAAUCUGGAAAUAGCUGGUUCUCUCCGAAAACUAUUUAGGUAGUGCCUCAUGUAUCACUCCAGGGGGUAGAGCACUGUAAUGGUUGGGGGGGUCAUUGCGACUUACCUCGCCAUAGCAAACUCCGAAUACCUGGAAGUGCGAGCAUGGGAGACAGACAUCGGGUGCUAACGUCCGGUGUCAAGAGGGAAACAACCCAGACCGCCAGCUAAGGUCCCCAAGAUUGGCUAAGUGGGAAACGAAGUGGGAAGGCUAAAACAGUCAGGAGGUUGGCUUAGAAGCAGCCACCCUUUAAAGAAAGCGUAAUAGCUCACUGAUCGAGUCGUCCUGCGCGGAAGAUGUAACGGGGCUAAGCCAGUCACCGAAGCUGCGGAUCCUAGAUUAAGUUCUAGUGAUGGUAGGAGAGCGUUCUGUAAGCCUGCGAAGGUGUGUUGAGAAGCAUGCUGGAGGUAUCAGAAGUGCGAAUGCUGACAUGAGUAGCGAUAAAGGGGGUGAAAGGCCCCCUCGCCGUAAGCCCAAGGUUUCCUACGCAACGUUCAUCGGCGUAGGGUGAGUCGGCCCCUAAGGCGAGGCAGAGAUGCGUAGUCGAUGGGAAGCAGGUUAAUAUUCCUGCACCGAUGUCAAAUGCGAUGGGGGGACGGGGUUUUGCAGGUUAUCCGGGUGUUGGAUGUCCCGGUUUCUGAGUGUAGGUGGCUGCUAGGCAAAUCCGGCAGCGUAUCACCGAGGCGAAAGAUCGAGCGAGCUUGCUUGCGAAGUAACUGAAUGAACCUCCAAGAAAAGCCUCUAAGCUUCAGUUUGACACGACCGUACCGCAAACCGACACAGGUGGGCGAGCUGAGUAUGCUAAGGCGCUUGAGAGAACUCUGGAGAAGGAACUCGGCAAAUUGAUACCGUAACUUCGGGAUAAGGUAUGCCCUAGUAGCGUGAAGUGAACAACGGAGCGUGAACGGGUCGCAGAGAAUCGGUGGCUGCGACUGUUUAAUAAAAACACAGCACUCUGCAAACACGAAAGUGGACGUAUAGGGUGUGACGCCUGCCCGGUGCUGGAAGAUUAAAUGAUGGGGUGCAAGCUCUUGAUUGAAGUCCCAGUAAACGGCGGCCGUAACUAUAACGGUCCUAAGGUAGCGAAAUUCCUUGUCGGGUAAGUUCCGACCUGCACGAAUGGCGUAACGAUGGCCACACUGUCUCCUCCAGAGACUCAGCGAAGUUGAAAUGUUUGUGAUGAUGCAAUCUCCCCGCGGCUAGACGGAAAGACCCCAUGAACCUUUACUGUAGCUUUGCAUUGGACUGUGAACCGGUCUGUGUAGGAUAGGUGGGAGGCUUUGAAGUGCGGACGCCAGUUCGCAUGGAGCCAUCCUUGAAAUACCACCCUGAUCUGUUUGCGGUUCUAACCUUGGCCCAUUAUCUGGGUUGGGGACAGUGCAUGGUAGGCAGUUUGACUGGGGCGGUCUCCUCCCAAAGUGUAACGGAGGAGUACGAAGGUACGCUAGGUACGGUCGGAAAUCGUGCUGAUAGUGCAAUGGCAAAAGCGUGCUUAACUGCGAGACUGACAAGUCGAGCAGGUGCGAAAGCAGGUCAUAGUGAUCCGGUGGUUCUGUAUGGAAGGGCCAUCGCUCAACGGAUAAAAGGUACUCUGGGGAUAACAGGCUGAUACCGCCCAAGAGUUCAUAUCGACGGCGGUGUUUGGCACCUCGAUGUCGGCUCAUCUCAUCCUGGGGCUGUAGCCGGUCCCAAGGGUAUGGCUGUUCGCCAUUUAAAGAGGUACGCGAGCUGGGUUUAAAACGUCGUGAGACAGUUUGGUCCCUAUCUGCCGUGGGCGUUGGAAGUUUGAGGGGGGCUGCUCCUAGUACGAGAGGACCGGAGUGGACACACCUCUGGUGUACCGGUUGUCACGCCAGUGGCAUCGCCGGGUAGCUAUGUGUGGAAGAGAUAACCGCUGAAAGCAUCUAAGCGGGAAACUCGCCUCAAGAUGAGACUUCCCUUGUGACUUGAUCACACUUAAGAGUCGUUCGAGACCAGGACGUUGAUAGGCUGGGUGUGGAAGCGCAGUAAUGCGUUAAGCUAACCAGUACUAAUUGCUCGUGAGGCUUGAUCCUAUAA
rnacentral:rRNA from 1 species